rnacentral:tRNA from 1 species
GCCUGGAUGGCUCAGUUGGUUAAGUGUCUGACUUCAGCUCAGGUCACGAUGUCGCAGUCUGUGAGUUCGAGCCCCACGUCAGGCU